GACGAACGCUGGCGGCGUGCUUAACACAUGCAAGUCGAACGGAAAGGCCCUGCUUUUGUGGGGUGCUCGAGUGGCGAACGGGUGAGUAACACGUGAGUAACCUGCCCUUGACUUUGGGAUAACUUCAGGAAACUGGUGCUAAUACCGGAUAGGAGCUCCUGCUGCAUGGUGGGGGUUGGAAAGUUUCGGCGGUUGGGGAUGGACUCGCGGCUUAUCAGCUUGUUGGUGGGGUAGUGGCUUACCAAGGCUUUGACGGGUAGCCGGCCUGAGAGGGUGACCGGGCACAUUGGGACUGAGGUACGGCCCAGACUCCUACGGGAGGCAGCAGUGGGGAAUAUUGCACAAUGGGCGGAAGCCUGAUGCAGCAACGCCGCGUGCGGGAUGACGGCCUUCGGGUUGUAAACCGCUUUCGCCUGUGACGAAGCGUGAGUGACGGUAAUGGGUAAAGAAGCACCGGCUAACUACGUG
rnacentral:rRNA from 1 species